CUUCCCAGCAGAACGGUGGGAUUUGGGGCCCUGAGGGUCCUUCCCCAGAUAGCACUCCUCCCCCGGCUGGUGGAGGGAAAAUAAACACCGAGUUCACAAAAUCAGGACCCGUCAUUAGCCCAACCGCAGUAAAAGAACUCUCUUCACAGAGCAACAGAAACCAACCCGGACUGCCAGGGACCCUCCUGCUGCCCCAGGGGACUGAGAUCCCACUGCAGCUGGGCCACCAGGCCGGCUUCAAGCGGACUCAGUCAGCUACUAACGGGCACUUUCUCUGCCUCCUCCAGCAUUCAGAUCAAGACAUACCGCCUCGGCCGAAGGCCAGCCAGAGAUUUUUUUUACCACCGCUCCCCCCCUGGAAACUACGAUGGAAAAAAAAAGUUCCAGACAGACUCACAGAAUCGAGGGAGUCUCCGCUGCUUAAAAAGGAGAGAGAGAAAACUUUGGAGCAGGUAGGAGGCGGCCAAGGGCAGCGGGACUCUCACCUCGGGACAGAAUUUUUGCAGGCAAUUAAUGGAGAACCACUAGGAACACGGAUGUAGGAUCUCACUGCUCUGGAACAGAAAAUGUGAAGUACGAGUAAGGCGGGGAAAUUCCGUUCAAAACGAACAGGCAUCGUAAGUGAUCGAACUGUAAAGAAUUGUGGUACUUCUGAGCGUUGAGAAAAUACAUUUAGAAAUAAAAGGAUGAGAAGGCU